AAUGAACGCUGGCGGCGUGCUUAACACAUGCAAGUCGAACGAGAACAGGAUUGCUUGCAAUCCUAAGUAGAGUGGCGCACGGGUGAGUAACACGUAGAUAAUCUACCUUCAAGCCCGGGAUAACUAUUCGAAAGGGUAGCUAAUACCGGAUAAAGUGUUUUGUCACAAGACAAAGUAUGAAAGACUGCCUAUCCUUGGAAGCAGUUGUUUGGAGAUGAGUUUGCGGACCAUUAGCUUGUUGGUAGGGUAAAGGCCUACCAAGGCUGCGAUGGUUAGCUGGUCUGAGAGGAUGAUCAGUCACACUGGAACUGGAACACGGUCCAGACUCCUACGGGAGGCAGCAGUGAGGAAUUUUGCGCAAUGGGGGAAACCCUGACGCAGCAACGCCGCGUGAGUGAAGAAGGCCUUUGGGUCGUAAAGCUCUGUCAACUGGGAAGAAGUUAGUAUGCAUGAAUAGUGUGUACUAUUGACGGUACCAGUGGAGGAAGCGCCGGCUAACUCCGUGCCAGCAGCCGCGGUAACACGGGGGGCGCAAGCGUUAUUCGGAAUUAUUGGGCGUAAAGGGCGCGUAGGCGGUCUUGUCGGUCAGAUGUGAAAGCCCGGGGCUCAACCCUGGACGUGCAUUUGAAACAGCAAGACUUGAGUACGGGAGAGGAAAGCGGAAUUCCUGGUGUAGAGGUGAAAUUCGUAGAUAUCAGGAGGAACACCGAUGGCGAAGGCAGCUUUCUGGACCGAUACUGACGCUGAGGCGCGAAGGCGUGGGUAGCGAACGGGAUUAGAUACCCCGGUAGUCCACGCAGUAAACGAUGUACACUAGGUGUAGGGGAUAUUAAAAUCCGCUGUGCCGCCAGCUAACGCAUUAAGUGUACCGCCUGGGGAGUACGGUCGCAAGACUA
rnacentral:rRNA from 1 species